AGAAUCACUCAAUUCCCAGACUCUUUUAUGACAGUAUUUAGAAUCAGAGAGGAAAUUAAAUAAAGAGGUGCCUGUGUAGCUGGGCCUAUGACCAUUGGAGGGAAGUUUCUUACACGUAGUCUCACCAUGUAAUGAAUAGGAGAGAAAGGCAGGACCAAGCUAGAGCUCAGAAAAUGCUUGUCUUGAAGCUUCUACCUUUAAGAGUAUCUAGGUCUGGGGUAAUCAGUUUUCUGUUGUCACUAUGACUUCCAAUUAGAUAGAUAGAUAGAUAGAUAGAUAGAUAGAUAGAUAGAUAGAUAGAUUAAUUGCUUUUCCUUUAACUAGGCUACAGAAGUAUUGAUUCCUAUGGGCAUAGAGACCAUCCCAGUCCAGAUGAGAUCCCACCAUGAAAAGACCAAAGUGACAGGAAAUCUUCUGAAUCAGAAAAAGCCUGGAACUCGGUUUGAGCUGGGAUCUCACAAUUCUGAAGAGGCUUAAUCUGGCCCAGACACAUCCCCUCUACCACCUCCUCAAGGUCAGUUCUCCCAAUCUGGAGGACAAAAAAGGCAGAGGGAACAACAACAACAAAAAUUCCUGUAAUUUGCCCUAUUGUUAUUUUCUCACUGUUGAUUGUCACUUAUUUUCUAGUUAUCAAUGGCUGACCCCCCCAAAAAAAAUAAAAAAUAAAAACAACCUCAGGACAGACUUUAUACAAACUGGCUUUGGUGGAGGCACAUGGGAAUUCUUUGUAAGAUCCUGCUAAUACUUCUCAGUGCCUCACUUCUCCGCCUUUUGGCUAAGAUCAAGUGUGAUCCACCUCUGCAAGUUCCCUGACUCAGAAGACUUGACUCCUGUUCACUCUCCUCUCUCCUGCCUCUUCUCCUAUACCUGCAGCACCCCACAGCUUCUUGCUGUCAAGGGAAACUCC
rnacentral:lncRNA from 1 species